rnacentral:rRNA from 1 species
ACGUAGGUCCCGAGCGUUGUCCGGAUUUAUUGGGCGUAAAGCGAGCGCAGGCGGUUAGAAAAGUCUGAAGUGAAAGGCAGUGGCUCAACCAUUGUAGGCUUUGGAAACUGUUUAACUUGAGUGCAGAAGGGGAGAGUGGAAUUCCAUGUGUAGCGGUGAAAUGCGUAGAUAUAUGGAGGAACACCGGUGGCGAAAGCGGCUCUCUGGUCUGUAACUGACGCUGAGGCUCGAAAGCGUGGGGAGCGAACAG